CGGGGAACGGAGGAUUGUUGUUGUAAAUGAGAUUUCGGUAUGGAGAGUGAGUGGGUAAUGGUUUGCAGAGCCGGGGCAUUGUGAUUGCUUUUGUUCUUUCAAGGCGUACAGUCUGCGCUUCCGCCAAUUGCAGGCAGUUAGGUGUUCGGAAUCGAGGAGGAGGAGGAUUUCGGUUUGGAGGAGGAGAGUUUGGGGCGAGUAAUCUUGAUCGAUGUUCGAAUUGCGGGGGGAUUGCGAGGCGUCUUCACGGGGUGCUCCUGGAGAAACAUGUCCUUGAUUGCUACCAGUUUCUGGUUUCCGGGGCAGUUGCUCUAGUGAGGAGAGAGAGGACAAUAUUUGACGUGCUUUUAUGAAGCAUUGUACAAGCGCUUUCUUGGUGAUGCCUAUCUCAUGCCCCUCCUGAAGGAGGUCACCAAAGCCCUCCGGAAGGAAAUGAAUGUCGAAAAUUUGAUUACC
rnacentral:sRNA from 2 species